rnacentral:rRNA from 1 species
GACGAACGCUGGCGGCGUGCCUAAUACAUGCAAGUAGAACGCUGAAGGAGGAGCUUGCUUCUCUGGAUGAGUUGCGAACGGGUGAGUAACGCGUAGGUAACCUGCCUGGUAGCGGGGGAUAACUAUUGGAAACGAUAGCUAAUACCGCAUAAGAGUAGAUGUUGCAUGACAUUUGCUUAAAAGGUGCAAUUGCAUCACUACCAGAUGGACCUGCGUUGUAUUAGCUAGUUGGUGGGGUAACGGCUCACCAAGGCGACGAUACAUAGCCGACCUGAGAGGGUGAUCGGCAACACUGGGACUGAGACACGGCCCAGACGCCUACGGGAGGCAGCAGUAGGGAAUCUUCGGCAAUGGACGGAAGUCUGACCGAGCAACGCCGCGUGAGGGAAGAAGGUUGUCGGAUCGUAAAGCUCGGUUGUAAGAGAAGAACGAGUGUGAGAGUGGAAAGUUCACACUGUGACGGUAUCUUACCAGAAAGGGACGGCUAACUACGUG